rnacentral:misc_RNA from 1 species
AAGUCGUAACAAGGUUUCCGUAGGUGAACCUGCGGAAGGAUCAUUAACGAGUUAGGGUCCCUCGCGGCCCGACCUCCCAACCCUUUGUCUACCUGACCACUGUUGCUUCGGCGAGCCCGUCUGUAAUGGACCGCCGGGGGGUACCUUGAUCGGCCCUCUGGUCCGCGCUCGUCGAUAGCCAAACUUUUAAAAUCUUAACCAAACGUGUCUCAAUCUAAGUAUUAUUUGUUAAAUAAAAGCAAAACUUUCAACAACGGAUCUCUUGGUUCUG